rnacentral:rRNA from 1 species
CGUAGGGGGCGAGCGUUGUCCGGAAUCAUUGGGCGUAAAGAGCGUGUAGGCGGCCCGGUAAGUCCGCUGUGAAAGUCCAGGGCUCAACCCUGGAAGGCCGGUGGAUACUGUCGGGCUCGAGUCCGGAAGAGGUGAGUGGAAUUCCUGGUGUAGCGGUGAAAUGCGCAGAUAUCAGGAGGAACACCAAUGGCGAAGGCAGCUCACUGGGACGGUACUGACGCUGAGACGCGAAAGCGUGGGGAGCAAACAGGAUUAGAUACCCUGGUAGUCCACGCCGUAAACGAUGGUCACUAGGUGUGGGGGGUGUCGACUCCCUCCGUGCCGGAGCUAACGCAUUAAGUGACCCGCCUGGGGAGUACGGCCGCAAGGCUA